rnacentral:tRNA from 1 species
AAGUAAUGAAGUAAAAAAUACAUUUAGUUUCGACCUAAAAUAAGAAUGAUAUUCCUUACUUA